rnacentral:rRNA from 1 species
UUUUCACUUAAAUCUGGCUGAGGGGUUAGAUUUAAGGAGAGCGUAACUUAGUGGCGGACGGGUGAGUAACGCGUGAGCAACCUGCCUUCUUGAGGGGAAUAACGUCUGGAAACGGACGCUAAUACCGCAUAACAUCUGAGAGUCGCAUGGCACUCAGAUCAAAGGAGCAAUCCGCAGGAAGAUGGGCUCGCGUCCGAUUAGCCAGUUGGCGGGGUAACGGCCCACCAAAGCGACGAUCGGUAGCCGGACUGAGAGGUUGAACGGCCACAUUGGGACUGAGACACGGCCCAGACUCCUACGGGAGGCAGCAGUGGGGGAUAUUGCACAAUGGGGGAAACCCUGAUGCAGCAACGCCGCGUGAGGGAAGAAGGCUUUCGGAUUGUAAACUCCUGUCGUAAGGGAAGAGAAAGGACUGUACCUUACAAGAAAGCUCCGGCUAACUACGUGCCAGCAGCCGCGGUAAUACGUAGGGAGCGAGCGUUGUCCGGAAUGACUGGGUGUAAAGGGAGCGUAGGCGGGAUGGCAAGUCAGAUGUGAAACCUGAGGGCUCAACCUUCAGACUGCAUUUGAAACUGCUGUUCUUGAGUGAAGUAGAGGUAAGCGGAAUUCCUGGUGUAGCGGUGAAAUGCGUAGAGAUCAGGAGGAACAUCGGUGGCGAAGGCGGCUUACUGGGCUUUUACUGACGCUGAGGCUCGAAAGCGUGGGGAGCAAACAGGAUUAGAUACCCUGGUAGUCCACGCUGUAAACGAUGAUUACUAGGUGUGGGGGGAUUGACCCCUUCCGUGCCGCAGUUAACACAAUAAGUAAUCCACCUGGGGAGUACGACCGCAAGGUUGAAACUCAAAGGAAUUGACGGGGGCCCGCACAAGCAGUGGAGUAUGUGGUUUAAUUCGAAGCAACGCGAAGAACCUUACCAGGUCUUGACAUCGAGUGACGUAUCCAGAGAUGGAUAUUUCCUUCGGGACACAAAGACAGGUGGUGCAUGGUUGUCGUCAGCUCGUGUCGUGAGAUGUUGGGUUAAGUCCCGCAACGAGCGCAACCCUUAUCAUUAGUUGCUACGCAAGAGCACUCUAAUGAGACUGCCGUUGACAAAACGGAGGAAGGUGGGGAUGACGUCAAAUCAUCAUGCCCCUUAUGACCUGGGCUACACACGUACUACAAUGGCGAUCGAACAGAGGGAAGCAAGACAGCGAUGUGGAGCCAAUCCCAAAAAAUCGCCCCAGUUCAGAUUGCAGGCUGCAACUCGCCUGCAUGAAGUCGGAAUUGCUAGUAAUCGCAGAUCAGCAUGCUGCGGUGAAUACGUUCCCGGGCCUUGUACACACCGCCCGUCACACCAUGGGAGUCGGUAACACCCAAAGCCGGUCGUCUAACCUUCGGGAGGACGCCGUCUAAGGUGGGAUUGAUGACUGGGGUGAAGUCGUAACAAGGUA